rnacentral:misc_RNA from 1 species
UACAUGUACCUGAAUUUUGUUUUUAAAUUUUUGAGAAAUAGUAGUAGUUAUUAUUUAUUGUAUGAUGUAAAUUUUGUUCUGACCUGUUGAUUAAUACAUGUAGUUCAAACCCUUAAAGGUUAAAAUGAUAUCAUAAAGUGAAAUAAGUAUUUUUCUUUCCCUAUAUUUUCCCCCCACUUCUACUGAAUGUAUUAAAAAUCAAUUUGAACAUUCUUGUUUGACAGGCCAUGGUAAGAGGGAGAGAGAGAAAGAGAUGGAGAGAAAGGAUGAAAGAUAUGUUUUUAUGGAGACACUCUGUUCUCUGUAAUGAUUUAAUAUAUGAAUAAAUUGUGAUAAAAAGGC